GCGCUAGUAUCUGGUAGCGACAGUCCAGUGUGAACACUAAAUGCUUAACGUCUCAUGUCAUGUGUUCAUAGCUUAAAACAACCUUGCUAACAAAGAUUUUUAUACUUGAAUGUAAAUUAAAAAAUAACAAAUUGUUAACUUUUUUUUGUGUUUUAAUUAUUUUUUUUGUUUUGAUCAACUAUAACUGUUGAUUUCUCCUCAUUAGUGCUACUCUCUGUCUGUCCUUGGUCUUUUCUGAAAGAAUUUGAAUUUUUUUACUCGCAUUCUUUGACAGCUUAAGAGGGGGAAAGAGGCACAGUGUGAACUUUGCAGGAGUGAGGAGCAAGGAGACGUCUGUUUUAAUUUAAAGUUCCCACCUGGUUUAUGAAUGAACAACCGCUAUGCUCCAGAGACCAGCCCACAUCCUCCGCAGCCAACCAUCCACUGGCUUUCCUCCAGUCAAAGUAGGCUCCAAGUCCACAUCCUCGCCUGGGUUUGACAGCUAAUGCUGAGUGAUUUAUCUUUGUAUCACUAAUUCCAAAAAAUGUGUUGGCACGUUUGUUUCUUUUGCUAAACUUGAAUUGGGAAAUUCAUUUCAACAAAGUUGCCACGUGAACUCGGUCCUUCAUCAUCUUUGAGCAAAAAACAAAACAAGUUCUUGGGGGUGUGGUGGAGUCUGGUUUAAAAAAAAAACAGGCAUACAAUUAAUGGAGGUGAACAGCGGGCCAAUUAUAGGACAAAAAUACAGGUCUCUGCAAUUUGAUGAUUCCACUGCUUCUGACUGGGAGACAUGAGGGAGAGGAGCUCAACACAUUUGAUACUCAUUACAGCAUAAAAAACAGACCAGAAUAGAAGAAAUGCACAUUAAUAGGUCGUAAUGAUGCCAAAAAUAUGCUAAAUUACUAUUUUUUCCCUCAGACUUUAUGUUUAGCAGCACCAGCAGAAAGCUGACUGCUGGCGCCCCAUGCUGCUUUGCUUUUGGGGGAGCAGGGAGCCAAUCAAUGUGAGCUCACAAAGGAGGGGAAGAGUAUUCAGAAAGCCAACUGUUCCCUCAGGCCAUGGGCAACGAAGAAGUGGGAGAGACAGCAGCUCACAGUGCACGGAGAGAAAGAGGCGAAGGGUUGACAACAUGUUUCCUUUGCUUCUGUGCAGUGAGAGGAAUAACAAAAUCCCUGCGACACUGGUGUGAAAUUAAUACCACCCUAACAGUUUAUCGCUUCUUUAGAAAAAGAAUCAGAGUGAGACAUCGAUAAGCAUCACCCUCUUAAUCAUUAAGCUUUUAGAAAUCAUUGUUUCUGUUAUUUUUAACUGGAUUUUUACAAUAAUUUUAAGUCAGGACACAAAUAACUCCUUUGUUUUAUGUUAAUACUCCUGCAUUCUCCCAUUCCUUCCCUGGCUUGGAUUCCCAACAUCUCUGUUCAUCAUUAUGUCAAUUGGGAAAUUAUUAAUUUACCUUAAAUAUAAUUUUUGUGAAGUCAGCCGUUGACACACACGUUAUUUUUGCUUCUAUGCUUCUAUGGUUUUCAGGGUUUUGGGUCUUAGCGGAACUUGUUGGUUGCCUAACUAUUAUUGGCAAAACAUAUAAGAUAUCAGAAAGAUCUGUUAUGUUGUAAUCAUUCCAGAUAUGUAGAUUUUUCUGAUGUGAAGGUUUUUCCUGCAAUCUUUGUGCAGGACUUAUUUGUAAAUUGGACCUUUAUACUGAAUUGACUUGUUGCUCCCUCUUUUGAUCAAUAAAAUGAUCUGAUGUUGUAAUUUGAACAUAGAGGAUCUUUAAAAAGAGUUAGACAUAUUGCUUUUUCUUUUCCUUAAUUACAAACCGAUAUGUUGUGAUUAUGAGACACUAUUGAUCAUUUUUUGUCUCUGCAACACUGAGCCUCCAUUAUGUCAGUCUUGCAUUUUAAUUGUUUGUGUGGAUUAUGUCUAAUUUAUUCAAUCUCUGUUUAGCAGGCUGAGCUCACAGCAGUAAAUUAGAGAUAUAUCCCACCUUGACAUUUUUAUUCUCAAAGGAAAAUGUAUGGGCACAAUUUAAAGGUUUUAAAACUUAAUUUUUUCCCUUUGAGAAAUAAGCUGGCAGGAGGUAAACUCAGUGUUUCUGGCCUCAUUGUUCUCCCAUAACUUGAAGUCAAAUUGAAAAGCCUCUUAUCAUAAAUACAUACUGUGGUAACUAUUUACUUACUAUUAAAUUAAAAUGUUACCAAGACAUCAUGAGGCUUAGCCAAAAUUUGAUGGCACAUUUUUGGAAGCAGUAGUGAAAAACUGCAUGUCAGUGUGAUAGUAGUUUCUAAAUAAUAUAAAAGCAAGUCUGUCGGGCUCUGUGACAUUUAAGUAUGAGCCUGUCUUUAUCAUUGAGGAUAGGUUUCAGCUUCCAAACUGCAAAAUGUCACCUGUUUCCUAAGGUCAGGUUGAUUUUUAGAAGAUCUUUUUCCUCAGAGGAGCUUAGUAAAUUCCUUGUACAAUAAUUUCCUCAAUGCUACGGAUACACCUGAUUGAAAGUUUGAAAUAAUUCAAAGUAAAAUGUUGCAGUCAUGUUCUGACACGAGUCACUAAGCUGCAAAAGAUACAAAUGCUCUAUUUUUGAUGUUCUUUAUCCUCCAUGCGCUUCUUUGUGUCUCAUUUUGUGCCUGGCCUGUAAACUCACUGCAGGCCUUCUUCACGAUUAAUAGUGGAACAAGACCUUUUCCAUUAGCCUCAUAACAAUGAUGUGAACCUCCUCUGAAAAAUUAUUUGGUCCUUUAACGCAUUAAGUUGAAAAGAAAAACAAUUUGCCUUGUCUAAAGUGGAGAUCUCCCCUUUUUUGCUGAGAGAUAGAUGGUCCUGUCUGUUUCAGCUGACCCUAAAAGCUGCUGCUUCUGUGAGGAGCAGUAACUGAAGUUCAGAAGACAAAGUGGUUUGUUUCAAACUAAAUACAUCAAUUUGUACAUUUGUUGGAAAUCAUUGCAGAAAUGGAUUGCAUCUGUUGCAGGAUGACAGCGCUGCACAGAUCAAGCUAAAAAGAUUGAGAGAUUUAUGACAGGAAGGCUGCAACGAGCUGUUAGGCCUCAGUAGAAUCUGUGCAAACGCCACUUACGCUUGUAUGGACAUCCUUUUUAUGAUAACAUCUACUUCUGUUGCUUUACAGCUUCCUUGAUCUACAGGUGUGUUUGGCAGGGGUUGCUGGGCAACAAGUCACACAAACAGGGUACUGGACAAGUUAAAAGAGAAAACCACGGAAGACCAUACCGCACACUUUCAUGCAGAAGAUAUGGACAAAGUGCCUGGAAGGAAAGUGUCUGGCUUUAUUUUUAUGAUAACAAUAAAAAUAUGUAAUAUCCAAACGUCCGCAAAAAUGUUAAAUUUUUCCAUUAAUUGGCUUUUUUUUUUUUUUUUGCUAGACAUUCAUACUUUCAGCCAGCACUGAAACAAAAACACAAUUUCUUCCUUUUUUUUUUUCUUAUCAGGCUUUCAGCAUCAAGGUCAAGGGCAGCUUCACUAUCAGUGGAUAAAUGGCAGGGAGCAGGUUUCUGCUCUGGGACCUCUUGGCGCUCAGCUCUGCUCUAAAUGAUCACUUAUCCCCGCUCGCCCACAUCAAAUUCAUUUUCUGGCAUUGACGUGAAGCAGCACUGUGGUCAGAUCAUUUCAAGUCAAGUUGCUGGAGCCCAAGUGACACUAUAACCCCUGAAAGGGAAUUACCAUGACAACGGCAGUCAGAGUUUGCACCACGUAAGGUGCAACCCUGGGGAUGAAGCAGUGGGUGGAAACGGAGUUGCAGUGGCACACAAACAGAGAAGCAAGAAGAUGCUAUUAUGAGGUCAGUGAGUUAAAUCUCCAUUAAUCACUGUUCUGCAUUGCAACUGAUGAGCUAAACAGCCUUGCUUUGUGGAGGUGAUGUCAUCUCAAUGUGUGUAGUAAAAAAGAUUCUGUUUCUCGUCUCAGCUACAAGAGGUUCACUACUUCCCUUUGCUUCACCACUGACCCCCUUCUCAUGUGGAAAGAAGGAGGCCCUUCUGUUUUCUCCUUCCUCUUUCUUGUCAAAAUUCCCGGCACACUCCGUUCUUAAUCUCGUAGCCCUGAAAAGCAGCUUGUGUGUGCCGGCUCACCUCAAGCUUUGCUCACUUGCUUUAAUAGAUGUGUUUGCUGCUAAGUGGCGGUUGUAAUAGGAUGCUUGUUUGCCUUUCUCGAUGCACUUUCAUCCUUCACUGUAGUUCUAUCGCAGCGCAGCGAUUUGUCUCUUGGCUGCAGAGCUUUACUGACUGGUGAGAAAACAAAGACUCUGGGAGUCGCUGUGCUCUGUAUUCAUGUCUGAAUGUAUGCUGCACGCACGGGUUGAGUGUUUGUAGUCAUUUGUCUUCGGAGGAGAGGUUGGUAAAAUGUAUCCCGUUCUGCCUAAUCUCUUUCUGCAUAAGUCAUUUCAGCCGCCUUUGUGUAGGAAAGGUAUGGUUUUGUUGGGAUUGAGGAAGGCUCCCCAUAGGCUGCAGCACAGCCCUGAACUGCCACAGACACUGCAGUGCUUCAUAAAUAGUGAAAAGUGAGAAAUGGGCAGAGGUGAAGAGAAGAGCAAAGAUAGCGCCGGUUCUCAUCCCACACACUUGGACAGUCUGCAGCCACAGUGAAUCAUUCAAUCAAGGGUAAUCUUCAUCGUUUGCCUACAAUGAAAAGUCUGUUCUUCACAAAGGCUCCUCACAGUAAUUCAGAGGUCUCUUUGUGUUGUGUGCAGAUGUGGCUGAUGACAAUGCCUCGUUUAUCUUGUCUGAGUAUCUUGGCCUUGACUACAAAUGACCUGAGGUCAGCCGGUGGUGCUAUGAAAUAUUUAACUCAUCUCAAAGCCAAGGCAGGCUUUUUUAAUUUUGGGAAAAAAUGGAAAUGAAAAUAUUUCUAUGAACCUGUGUAAGCAUAUUCUGCUUGUCUGUUGCAUGUUGCUACAUGCAAAAACUAUUUGCAUUUAACAUAAAAUCAAAGAUAAUGAAAAUUUAGAGCUUGUGUUAACAGUGUUAAACAGAAUUUUCAGGAUGUGCUGUCAGUGAGUGAAUUUAGAGCACCCUCAGCCCAGAAUGUUACUCCGCAGAACCGUUUUGCCACCCAUCUCAUGUCUUAAACUUUAACAGAUGUUCUGAGCUACAGUGGAAGUUUUACCACCCACCCCUGCUCCUAUAGUGUCAGUCUCUUUUUUCGACAUCUGCCAAUUUAAAGAGACUUAAAUGGUUUUCGUACAGCCUUUUGAUAACAGGAGAGUGUGUGAGUCCACAUCGAAGACCCUAAGGUAACUUUGGCAUUAUGUCAAAACUGAAUCUACUCAUUAAAACCCAAAAUAUUAAAAAAAAAAAGUCAGUGUAAAAGCAUUUUACUGAUUAAAAUCAUAAAGUGGGUCAUUAUUGCACUGUGGAAAGAUUAGAGUAUGAUCAGAUUUCUGUGACUCCUCUUCUCUUUAGAUUUGAUUCUUCUUCUCUCUGGUUCCAUGUUCUCAUCUGUCUGCGUUCUCAAGAGUGGAAGCUUGACUUGCAAGCAGAGGUCUGCAGUUGCUCCAUUCCUCGGACCUGGAGACGUUACAGUAGUGGAGUGAUCACGGCAUGGCUGUAGCAGCUUUUACACUGCAUCAACAAAACAAACAAAGAUGAU